rnacentral:rRNA from 1 species
GACGAACGCUGGCGGCGUGCCUAAUACAUGCAAGUCGAGCGGACCGACGGGAGCUUGCUCCCUUAGGUCAGCGGCGGACGGGUGAGUAACACGUGGGUAACCUGCCUGUAAGACUGGGAUAACUCCGGGAAACCGGGGCUAAUACCGGAUGCUUGAUUGAACCGCAUGGUUCAAUCAUAAAAGGUGGCUUUYAGCUACCACUUACAGAUGGACCCGCGGCGCAUUAGCUAGUUGGUGAGGUAACGGCUCACCAAGGCGACGAUGCGUAGCCGACCUGAGAGGGUGAUCGGCCACACUGGGACUGAGACACGGCCCAGACUCCUACGGGAGGCAGCAGUAGGGAA